UACGUAGGAUGCAAGCGUUGUCCGGAUUUACUGGGCGUAAAGCGCGCGCAGGCGGCACUCUCAGUACGCUGUGAAAUAUCCCGGCUCAACCGGGAGGGUGCAGUGUAGACUAGGGAGCUAGAGGUCGGUAGAGGGGGGUGGAAUUGCUGGUGUAGCGGUGAAAUGCGUAGAGAUCAGCAGGAACACCCGUGGCGAAGGCGGCCCCCUGGGCCGUACCUGACGCUGAGGCGCGAAGGCUAGGGGAGCGAACGGG
rnacentral:rRNA from 1 species